GGUGCAGUUGAAGAAAGGAGUGCACGAGAGAGCAGGCUCCAGACCUUCUGAAUCAUUCAUAAGGGAGAUCCUCCAACGUCAAACUGGCUGGAUGGGAAAGAGGAGAUGUUGAGGUGCAUUUGAGCUGAGGGAG